ACUAUGUGUAGUCGAGGUACUACAGAUCAAGAAACCACUCACACCACUACAACAUUGAGAAAUUCACUGAUGAGUGAGUAGACAUUCAUGUGAUCUCUCGUAUGGUCACAUCAGUAUCAAUAUUCUCUAACAACCACCUGCACUCUCGCUCAGUGUCUCUACAUCAUAGACUUGAGACUCGUAUAUUAUGAAGAAAGCGAUCCGUGCAUUGAUCUAACC
rnacentral:lncRNA from 1 species